rnacentral:rRNA from 1 species
AGUGAACGCUGGCGGUAGGCCUAACACAUGCAAGUCGAACGGCAGCACAGUAAGAGCUUGCUCUUACGGGUGGCGAGUGGCGGACGGGUGAGGAAUACAUCGGAAUCUGCUUUUUCGUGGGGGAUAACGUAGGGAAACUUACGCUAAUACCGCAUACGACCUACGGGUGAAAGCAGGGGAUCUUCGGACCUUGCGCGAUUGAAUGAGCCGAUGUCGGAUUAGCUAGUUGGCGGGGUAAAGGCCCACCAAGGCGACGAUCCGUAGCUGGUCUGAGAGGAUGAUCAGCCACACUGGAACUGAGACACGGUCCAGACUCCUACGGGAGGCAGCAGUGGGGAAUAUUGGACAAUGGGCGCAAGCCUGAUCCAGCCAUACCGCGUGGGUGAAGAAGGCCUUCGGGUUGUAAAGCCCUUUUGUUGGGAAAGAAAAGCAGCAGGUUAAUACCCCGCUGUUCUGACGGUACCCAAAGAAUAACCACCGGCUAACUUCGUG